UUGCCAUACAUCAAUGUCGACCCCCAUGAGAACGAGUACGAAAUCAUCUAGACUCAGCAAAAAAGAUGUACUCGAAUUUCUUCAACUCAACAGUUGGUCCAUCCGGUGGCAGUUGGUGAGAACCAAAGUGUUCAAUGAGCAAUGUGCCUGCAGGCGAAGGUUACAAAAAGGUUUGGCAAUGUUGUCAUCAAAACAUACAUGUAUCUAAUAAACACUUCAGGUCUGCAUGAUGUCUGGUGCAUGCAGCGCUUGUAACCAGCUUGUACAUAAAUGCUCAGGUCAGGGUUAAUACUUAAAUUUCAUAAGUUUAUUUUAAAAAAUCAUUUAUGUUCGUUAAAAAUAUUCUAUCAGAUUAAAGUUGAAUAAAACGGAUCAUAUUUCUAGGGGGUAGGACGCUCAUAUAUUUAAUUGUUAUCUAUCUCCAGACUCUGUCAUGUACAUACCAGACCAGUGUUGUAGUCGGGACCGGCAUAAGACCAGUCAGAAGACCGUUCACAAGCAACAGACACAACAAUGACAAUGGAAUGCCCAUGUUGCAGUUCAUUUGAAUAGAUUGGAAGUUGACUUGAGACUGCUAAUCUUGUGUCGGUACUUCUUGUGACGGUCUCGCUGGUCUCGCGUCGGUCUCAACUACAACACUGGUACGUACUGCAGAUUCCCACGUUCAACUUUGACAUUUUCCAAGUAGUUUGUAUUUAUUUCUUAUGCCUAUAAAUUGAUAUGAUUUUUGUGUUUCAUGGAUCUGUUUAUGACAUACCUGGCUAAUUUGGGGGUUUCAGGGAACACUACAUGUUUUUGUAACCAUAAAAGGUCAGGGUUAAUACGUAAAUUUCAUGAUAUAUAAAAUAUGAUGAUUUAUCAUAUUUAGCUUUCUGGGAACACACUAUUUUUAAACAUAAAGACAGGAUUGAGUACACCUUUUUCGCUGUUUGCAACUUUGAAUUUUUAUAGAAAGGUAUUCAUGGUUCACUGUUCAUAAUGUCAUUACCUCUGUCGAUCAUGAUUGAAGGGUUGACCUUCCUUGUUCAGGCACUGAGGUACAUUAGAUUAUAAGAAACUAAUUAUAAGGUCUAGACACUACAUAUUAAAAGUUAGAUUUUGGAGGAGGCAAGCUUUGUGCCUAACUGUAACUGGUCAUUGCGUUGUACUCUUGGUACAACUCUUGGUUGUACAUGACAAAAUAACAAAAAAAAAAACAUUUUGUAAUUCGUUUUUCACUAUAAAGAUAGAAAUGACCCGUCAGUGCAAAACCUGGACAAAGUCUCCAGCAUGCAUUUCUUUGUAAACAACCUGGAAAGUCUAUUUUGGGUGGGUUUGUCCAUUUUCAGCUUUGCAUGCCUUACUAAGCUUCAACCAUUCACGCAUCAUUUUGAAAAUACGAAUAUGAUCAGAUAUUGAGCCACAUAAAUUGGAGCCCUGUUCAUUGUAUUUGUUUUGUGCAUACUUCAAUUUCACUCCCUUUACUUUAAAGCUGUUUUUCUACGAAAUGACAUUUCCGUUGAUAAGGUCAUUAUCCUUUCAUAGUUGAUACCAAAAGAGGGGCAUUUUAUACCAUUCGAGAGAAUUUAAAGUAGACAAUAUCAAAAAUUUCAAAAAGAAAACAUGAUUUUUCCUACUUUGUCCAAGUUUUGUGUUGACCGGUCAUAUAUUGUGAACCAUUGUAUUUAAUCCAAUUCAUGAGAACAAGAAAUCAAACUAAAGCUACUGUUCCUCUUUCCUUACAUACUUUCAGAGACUGAUUUGAAUAAUCACUUUGUCAGACCUUGCAAAUACUGAUCAGUCCCUUUAAAGCUUGCACAAAUCUUCUAGAUUGUCAUCUGAUGUUUUUUUAUUCCUAUUUUUGACAAAUUGUAAAGAAAAUAUUUUAAUAAAAGAAAGUUCUCGGUGUUUUGAAGUAUUCUUUGAAAGAUAAAAUUUUUACAUACUGUACAAAUUUUAUAAUCACAUCAUUAAUCACUUUGGGGUUAUCAAGUUCAUGUACCUUGGGUACAAUUUAACACAGUAUAGUGAGACACCAAUUUACAUCAAAAGUGGGUUUUAAAUUUGUUUAAUCAUGUAGCCCAGGAGUAUUGUGACCCACUUAUCAUUUGUGCUUAAAAGGGUGACCCCACAAAACUUGAAAAGAAACGGGAAGAUGAUAAAUCUAUCUUUAUAUUGUGUGUUUGUAUUUUUGUGGAUUUGUGCAUUUCCCCGGAAAUUUCCCCGAUUUUUAAAAUUGAAGUAAGCCUAUUUAAGACUGCUGUCUUACUUGGGAAGUUUAUUUUAAAAAUCAUUUAUGUUCAUUUCAAAUAUUCUAUCAGAUUAAAGUUGAAUAAAACGGAUCAUAUUUCUAGGGGGUAGGACGCUCAUAUAUUUAAUUGUUAUCUAUCUCCAGACUCUGUCAUGUACAUACCAGACCAGUGUUGUAGUCGGGACCGGCAUAAGACCAGUCAGAAGACCGUUCACAAGCAACAGACACAACAAUGACAAUGGAAUGCCCAUGUUGCAGUUCAUUUGAAUAGAUUGGAAGUUGACUUGAGACUGCUAAUCUUGUGUCGGUACUUCUUGUGACGGUCUCGCUGGUCUCGCGUCGGUCUCAACUACAACACUGGUACGUACUGCAGAUUCCCACGUUCAACUUUGACAUUUUCCAAGUAGUUUGUAUUUAUUUCUUAUGCCUAUAAAUUGAUAGUGUUUCAUG